rnacentral:rRNA from 1 species
ACGGGAGGCAGCAGUGGGGAAUAUUGGGCAAUGGGCGAAAGCCUGACCCAGCGACGCCGCGUGAAGGAAGAAGAUCUUCGGAUUGUAAACUUCUGUCAACAGGGAAGAAAUAAAUGACGGUACCUGUAGAGGAAGCCACGGCUAACUACGUGCCAGCAGCCGCGGUAAUACGUAGGUGGCGAGCGUUAUCCGGAUUUACUGGGUGUAAAGGGUGUGUAGGCGGCCAAGCAAGUCAGAUGUGAAACCUGAGGGCUUAACCUUCAGCUUGCAUUUGAAACUACAUGGCUUGAGAGUCGGAGGGGUAAUCGGAAUUCCCGGUGUAGAGGUGAAAUUCGUAGAUAUCGGGAGGAACACCAGUGGCGAAGGCGGAUUACUGGACGACCACUGACGCUGAGACACGAAAGCGUGGGGAGCAAACAGGAUUAGAUACCCUGGUA